rnacentral:rRNA from 1 species
GACGAACGCUGGCGGCGUGCUUAACACAUGCAAGUCGAGCGAACAGACGAGGAGUUUGCCCCUCGGACGUUAGCGGCGGACGGGAGAGUAACACGUGGAUAACCUACCUAUAAGACUGGGAUAACUUCGGGAAACCGGAGCUAACACCGGACAACAUACUGAACCGCAUGGUGUAAUAGUGAAAGACGGUUUUGCUGUGAUUUAUAGACGGAUUCUCGCCGUAUUAGCUAGUUGGUAAGGUAACGGGUUACCAAGGCAACGAUGCGUAGCCGAACUGAGAGAGGGAUAGGCCACCCUGGAGCUGAGACGGGGUCCAUGCGCCUACGAGAGGCAGCAGUAGGGAAUCGUACGCAGUAGGCGGGAGCAUUACGCAGCGGCGCCACGUCAGUUGUGAAGAUCCUCGGAUCGUGAAGCUCUGUUAUUGGGGAAGAACCACUGUGUAAGUAACUGUAGACGUAUUGACGGUACCUGAACAAGAAGCCACGGCUAACUACGUG